UUUCAUGGUUGGGUGAAAUUCCCUACCGGCGGUGAUCGAUGGCGGAGCCAUCGCGAGCCCGCGACCCGCGCAAGCGGCUGAUCCGGUGAGAAUCCGGAGCCGACGGUACAGUCCGGAUGAGAGAAA
rnacentral:ncRNA from 1 species